AAAGUGAUAAAAAAGUUGCCAUCUGUAGUAUCCAUCCAUCUGAGCAAGCUACAUUGCAGUGCCUUGGGUGUGUGAAGGCCAAAAUCCCAGUCUCUAAGAGUUACCAUUGCUCACCUAAAUGCUUCUCAGAUGCAUGGCAACAUCAUCGUGUUCUGCAUGAACGUGCCGCUAGUGCUGUAAAUGAAAAUGGAAACGGGGAGGAAGAAAUAUUUGGGCAAUUUAAUAGUACCGGGUCUGGUGUUUCUAAUGCAAGUUUGGCUUCUUCUCAAUCAAGUGGCAGCUUGGCGAAUGGAAACGCACCGUUAUAUCCUGCAGCAAUAACCCAGAGAAAUGGCGGUGAAACCUGGUUUGAAGUUGGACGGUCUAAA
rnacentral:misc_RNA from 1 species